rnacentral:sRNA from 1 species
GAGAUCGUGUGAGCUGCUAUGUGGACGCUAGGGGUUGAAUCCGGGUCCUUGGGAAGGGCAGCCCGUGCUCGUCACGGCUGAAUCAUCUCUCCGUCGCCAACUUGGAAUUUUUUUAUCCACUAUUUCUUUAGAUGUUCUGCAUUCCUGCUCUUUCUCUGUCCUUCUGGGGCAUCACCCAUGUGUCGGUGCGAAACCAUCAAGUUUCAAUAGAAAGAAAUCUCAGUACCUAUUUAUUUGGGUCCAUACUGUUCUCUUCUGAUCCUCAGACUGGGUAAUUUCAAUUGAUCUGUCUUAUUGUCAAUAUUCAAUUGAUUUUGCCUCACUAAUUUUCUCUUCAUUUCAUAGCUCAGAUCUUUCUACUAAAUCAACCCACUAAAUUAUUUUUUUACUUUAUAUUCCUGCAUUAUCUUUCCUUUAAUUCUUUUUUUUAAACUUUUAUAAAGAACUAGGUAUCUAAUGCAGGGUCCCAUCCAUGUUUGGCAAACGUGAUCUACUUAGCCACACUCGAGGCUUUGGACAUUAGUUCUGUGAAAACAGACAGCGCCUAUGUGGCCCAGGCUGGUCUUUCACUUGCUAUGUAGCUCAGGUUAUCCUCAACCUUGUCAUUCUCCUGUUUCCCAAGUGCUAUGAUUGCAGACCUGGGCCAGAAGACCUCAAAUUCUUUAGCCAUGAUUUCAUUUAAUUCUUUAAGCAUAGUUAGUAGAUGUCUUUAAGUGUUUGCAUGUCACGUCUAACCUUUAGGCUGUCUUAGCUUUUAUCCUAGUUAGGGUUUCUAUUGCUGUGAUAAAAUGCCAUGACCAGAAGCAACUUGGAGAGGAAAAGGUUUAUUUCAUCUUAUCCUUCCAGUUAACAGUCUACUGCUGAUGGGAGUCAGGGCAGGAAUUCAAGCUGGGGAAGAACCUGGAGCCUCCUAUGUGCUCCAACCCUGUCCCCACUCCAGUGGCAGUGUUAAACAAUCUCAAGUGACUGCUGUUAGCUAACACCCUCGAGACAAGCUGAACACGCGGAAGAGACUCUGAGGUGCAGACCUUCCAGUGAAGCCAUAGGCUCAAUGGAUGUGAAGUGGGUCCUGUGACUAAUACCACACUGGUCCUUGAGCUACUGCACGAUAACCAGAAGAAACCUAAGCUUCAGCUCUCUGCUGGCUCUCCCUACGCACCACUGACGUCCAGAUCCUUCUCUCCAUCAACUGCAUCCUGCCAUUUGAAAAGAACUUUCUUCUGCUUUGCUGCGGACCCAACCUGGAUUUUCAUGGACGCUAAGCAAACACCCUACCACCGUGUUAACUUCCUACCCCACCCCAUGAUCCUGCCCUUUAAAAGGAAGAGCUAUCAAAUGGAUAAGUAUAUGAUAAAAGUUUUAUCAAGCUAUUUAGUUAUUUGCCUCUUACUUCUUAUCAGACAAAUGCCAGUUCAGCAAUUGAAUGACAAUUGUGACUUCUGUGACAUGUUAAUAAAGCUCAGAACCUCCAGAUUUUCUGUUGGUGUAGGUUACUGAAGCAGAGCUAUAUCCUUUCCUCUGAGCUGUCUUCACUGCCUUGAAGACACUGCACUGAAGAAAAGGGAGCCAUGGAGCCUUGGUGUAAAUCCCCAUAUUAUUAACUACUGCACUUUGAUCUCCAUGAAAGUCACAACUCUUGUGAAUCUUAGGUUCUCACCCCCAAGACAUUUCUAAUGUCUGAUUCUGUAAUUUUUUUAAAAUAACAGUAGCUCUUACAAGUCCACGAUACCAUAAAUGGUAGCUCCUUUUAGAGGCUGUGUCUGAAUCAACUACUGAUUAUGUGUUAUAGUUUGCUCCUGAAUGUCUCAAACAAGUUGUACGCCUCUGAUGAUGUGGUUUGGAAACAAUCUGUGGGUGUUUUUAAGACAUAAAGACUGGCCGAUUAAAUAUACUAUUAUGGGUAAGCCUUCAAAGAUGAUACCCUGACUUCAGGUCCAACCUUGCUCUCUGCUUCCUGGCCUGCUGCAUUGUGAACAAUUUCCCCCACGUCUUCCUCUGUCAUGAGCUAAGUUGCUCUUCUCUGUCUUCCCUACCACAAUAGGUUGGAACAUUCUGAAAUGGUGAGCUAAUGUAAACUCUGCUUCUGGGAGCCUGCUGGGAGAGCUUCUUUCUUAUUGCUCCACAUGGAUGUAGAGAGGCCAAAACACAAUUCAUCUUUGAAAGCAUACCAAGGAAUGCCAUGCUGGACAUUGUAAAUGUAUUUCAAACAAGAUACCUGGAGACCCUGUAAUGAAGGAGGUGGGAACAAUUUUUUUUCACUUCCAGUUGAGUCAAUUCUAAAACUAAAAUCUCCCAAAACAGCAGAGGAGGGCAAAGUGCCAUCACAAAGGCUCUUGGGAAGUAUUCAACAAGAGGAUUCAUUCAGAUGUGACAAUUUAUCCCCCAAUUUUACAUUGCCUUCCUUUGGAAAGAGGGAGAUGAAUGCAUGUUGUUUUGCUUGUAACUGCAGAAGAGGAAACAGGGACUCUUCGGUGUUUAGUGCAUAAAUCAUCUCCCUAUAGCUGAGGGGAUAGAGACAGCUUGAAAUAGAGAACAAUGCAAGAAAGAAAGAGAACAAGAUUUUCAACUGGAGCUUACCAAUGCCCCAAAGAUGAAUGUCUGUGAGGAAAAGGCCACUCAACUAUCCUGCAAAUCCCCUGACUGUGGCUCAUACGCCUUCCAUCUUGAGCCCUCUGCCCUGAACAAGCAACCCUGGCUAAGAAAGAGUCAAGCAUUCAACACCCCAGAGCUUGCUUGGCCUGUCAUCUGUUCUUCUGGGGGAGGGGCUACAGAAGCACCACUUAAAACACUGGUUGGUGGCUCUUCCAUAGAGUCUUUGAGUGUGACACCUACAUAGGGAGCCAACACCAGCCAAACCAAAACCAGCCAAGAGUGGCCCAGAGAGAAACUAGAACACAGAGGGAACGUGGUAUUAGAUUCAGCUGCAGAGAUCUCAUCAUCGUUACAACAGCAACAGCAAAGCAAGUGUGUUUCAGCUGAGUCAACCUAGGUAAUGAUGUAGGCUGUUGGAUUAAUUGUUUUUCUGUGAGCCUAGAAUGCUAAGAAAAGCACUUACAAAAGAAGGAUCUAUUUUGCUCAAUCUUGGAGGUCCAAUCUUGAGUUGCUGCUUCUCACAACAUGAGCAGAUGUUUUGCAACAAAGGAGCACAGGGAAGAGGGCACAUGCCAUUCUAUGGUGAACCCAAAUUCAGAAAAUGAUUGGGAAAAGAUACAACCUCAGUGGAAACUACCUCAGUGGCUUACUUCCUCCGGCUAAGUCCUGGAUCCUUCCUGUCACCACUUCUCAACAACACUGCUGUAAUAUGAACUCAUCUAGGGAUUAAUCCAGUCAUUAGACCAGCAGCCUUGUGAUCUAGCUAUCUUCACAAAUGUGCCCGGCACUAUAUUUCACUCAUCUAGGGGCUUCUCAGUCAGUCAGGUUGACAGGCAAGAUUAGCUAUCACAGUGGGGUUUUGCAAGAUGAUCCUAUGUAGUGUCAGGGAAAAAAUAAGAGCAUUCCUAGUGGUGCUGAUUUUCCUAAACCAUUGCUUCUCUGUUAUUGCUUGUAGGCACUUAAAAAUAGAUGUAUAGAAUGUUCAUAACUUUUCAUUUUUGAAUGGAAGCAGCCAGAGCUAACAGUGGGAAUAUGUACCAAGGAUAAGAAACUGCUUCUGCAAGGACAGUCAAGAGUGGCGGUGUUUCCCAAAAUUUCCCUUGAUACAUUCGAGACCCAAAACCUGGAAAUUCUGAGACUGAUAUGAGCCUUCCUACAAACGAGGUAUACCAGCUGUGCCUCCAGAAACAGCUUCGGCAACAGAUCUAUAGGGCAGGAGGCUGAGGAAAGGAGAAAAUCAAAGACAGCCUCCAGAGGAAACUCCAGUGGCCACAGAGAGAAUGAGUUUAGCUAUCUACCACGGAGGAAGGAAAGAAUUUAGAGCAGAAGCAGUCAGCCGUUGACCUGCAUUAAAACCACAUCUACUCGGUUUCCCACUUGUGUGGCUGUACACCUCUGAUAUGGAUCACUCCAGAAUUUUAAAAUAAGCUCCUGACUUGCUACACAAUUGAGCUCCAUGAGGAUCAGUCGUCAUUAAACAUUAAAAAGAAACAUAAAAACCUUCAAGAAGAGAUGUCUAAAAGUCACCAAAUUUUCACAGAUUUUCUUACAAUUUCCCACUUCUUCUCUAGUGGCUACAAAAUUUGUCCAACAUAGAAAAGGCUGUCAAAAAGAAAUACCAAGAAGUCUACCAUGAAACCCAAAUAGAAGAAAUUACCAAAUGAAGAUUUUGAAAGAAUUUUAAUGCUGUUCUUUGAGAUCACUAAGCAAACAUGAAACAACUGUGAAUAUUAAAAAAGUAAACUGUAUUCUAUAUCUAUUUGCUCAAAAUGCCAUAAUACUGCAUUUGGCGAUUUUAUGCACAUGUUAGGAUAGAUUGAGAGGCAGUGAGGUGUUUCUUUCCAUAUCAAAGUCUUUAUUCCUACUGUAAUAAGCUAUAGAUGUUACUGUUGUAAGCUAUGAGUUUGUGUAUGCCUGCAUGUGUAUGCGUUGUGUGCACAAACCCAGAGGCCAGAGCAGCACUCCAAGUGUCUUCCUCUAUUGUUUUCCACCAUAUUGUCUUGAGUCCAGGUCUCUUGCUGACUCAGAAGCUGGUCAUCUUGGCUUGACUAGCUGCCUAGUGAACUCUUGGAAUCCACCUAUCUCAGGCACCUGAUGCUGGAGUUGCAGGUGCACAAAGCCAUGUUAUGCCUUCUGUUGUUCUUUUCCUUUCCUUUCUUUUCUUUUUCUCAAGGCAGGGUUUCUCUGUGUAACAGCCCUGGCUGUUU